rnacentral:rRNA from 1 species
UACGUAGGUGACAAGCGUUGUCCGGAUUUACUGGGUGUAAAGGGCGCGUAGGCGGGAUAGCAAGUCAGUCGUGAAAUGCCGAGGCUUAACCUUGGAGCUGCGAUUGAAACUGUUAUUCUUGAGUAUCGGAGAGGAAAGCGGAAUUCCUAGUGUAGCGGUGAAAUGCGUAGAUAUUAGGAGGAACACCAGUGGCGAAGGCGGCUUUCUGGACGACAACUGACGCUGAGGCGCGAAAGUGUGGGGAGCAAACAGG